rnacentral:lncRNA from 1 species
AGAAUUGACAUUGGAACUAGAGGCCAGUAGGAGGUGUCUCCCUGGUCAGGUCAUCAGUGAGAGCUUGGUUAUUCUCCAUACCAGGGCAUCAGAUCAAAAGGGUUGCAUUUCUCAGUACACCCCUAGAGUGACGAGGCUUAAGAAAUAGUGACUAUGAAAGUAUUCAGAAGUAUGGUAGAAUGAUUGGAAUUGUGGACUAGCAAAAAACAGAACCUAGAAAAAUAAAGGCAGUUCAAAAAAUAAAUAUGAUUAGAAACCAUGAACUAACAAAUGUCAGAAGGACUGAGGCAGGAACCAAAAAAUAGUGCUAGCAUUCCAGGAGAAUUUUGAUCCAUUUCUGUGGGUUUAUUCACCAAGGGCUCUGUAAGUUCAACAUUUGGCUAAAGCUCUUGACACCCAUACAAUCAUUGAUAGGGUCAGGAGCAGAAAUGGAGCCGAUUUAAAACACUGUGACUCACCCCUCAUUUUGCUUUGUUUAUCACAGUUCUCCUGUACUUGUAUUUUUGGUUUCAAUACCCUUUCUCAUGUACCACAAAAGAGGCUAACAAGAAGCCGGGCAUGAUGACACAUACCUGUAAUCCCAGCAACUGAAGCAGGAGGAUCACAAGUUCAAGGCCAGCCUCAGCAAUUUAAUGAGACUCUCAAAAUAAAAUAUAAGGACUUGGGUGGAGUAUGGCUCAGUGGUUAAGCACCUCUGGGUUCAAUCCCUGGUUUAAAAAAAAAAAAAGCGAAUGAUGGAGUUAUUUCUCUUUGAGAUUAAACCAAGAUCUUGGGUUGAAAGGGAUUAAAUUUCUUAAACAUGUAGGACAUCAGGACAGUUAAAGAAUCCUGAGUCUUCAGCUGUCAGGGUUUCUUAUUGCCUUAGCCCUCGUCAUAGCACAUCACACAGCAGCCUCACUUGGGUCUUCCUCUCUCCUGACAUUGGGAGCAUGAAUGACAUAGACUGGGAAGUACAAUGUUUUUAUUGAACUUUAUUAAACCCACAAAAAGGAAGUGGCAGAUUGCCAAUAAAAC